GUGACACUUUUUGUGAUUACACUCAGAGGGCUGUCGCAAGAGACUGGUUCGCGCUGGCUCCGGCGGGUGCCUUGCGGCCGGGGCCCCCCCUGGGGCGACCCGCCGGAGCAUAGGGUAGCGGUACGUUCACAGUGGUUUUCAAGUCUUAACUCUGUAAUGAUCCCUCCGCUGGUUCACCAACGGAGA
rnacentral:misc_RNA from 1 species